GAAGCGGUGACGCCAGUUGCCGCAGAGUCGCUGUUGGGAUACCACCCUUGCAGUAUUGGAUUUCUAACCAGCAGCCGUGAACCGGCUGGGGGACAAUGUCAGGUGGGGAGUUUGACUGGGGCGGUCGCCUCCGAAAGGGUAUCGGAGGCGCUCAAAGGUUCCCUCAGAAUGGUCGGAAACCAUUCGAAGAGUGCAAAGGCAGAAGGGAGCUUGACUGCGACACCGACGGGUGGAGCAGGUACGAAAGUAGGACUUAGUGAUCCGGUGGUAUAAAGUGGGAUUGCCAUCGCUCAACGGAUAAAAGCUACCCUGGGGAUAACAGGCUUAUCACUCCCAAGAGUUCACAUCGACGGAGUGGUUUGGCACCUCGAUGUCGGCUCAUCGCAUCCUGGGGCUGGAGUAGGUCCCAAGGGUUGGGCUGUUCGCCCAUUAAAGCGGUACGCGAGCUGGGUUCAGAACGUCGUGAGACAGUUCGGUCCCUAUCCGGCGUGGGCGUAGGAUAUUUGAGAGGAGCUGACCUUAGUACGAGAGGACCGGGUUGGACUGGCCGCUGGUGAAUCUGUUGUUCUACCAAGAGCAUGGCAGAGUAGCCAAGCCGGGAAGGGAUAAACGCUGAAGGCAUCUAAGCGUGAAGCCCCCCUCAAGAUGAGAUAUCCCAUAACGUCAAGUUAGUAAGACCCCUUGAAGACGACAAGGUAGAUAGGACAGAGGUGGAAGUGCAGUAAUGUAUGCAGCUGACUGUUACUAAUCGGUCGAGGGCAUAACCAA
rnacentral:rRNA from 1 species